rnacentral:tRNA from 1 species
GUCCGUGUGGCCUAAUGGAUAAGGCGUCUGACUUCAAAUCAGAAGAUUUCAGUUUCGAAUCCUGUUGCGGGCG